ACAAUAGAUCAUCAGAAGAGAAGUGAUUUGAGAAGUGGGGUGCUGCCAAAGCAAAACCCUCAAACAUACGGCACUGGUCUUGCUUGGAACCAGGCAAGAAGCAGAGAUGGAAGGGCCUCCAGAAAUGUUUCUAAAAAUAAGAAAUAGGCUCAUGGUUUAGAUCAAACUCAGGACCCUUUGUAUAAAAUGUGGCCUUAAGAUUACAUUUAGAACAAAAGUACAACCUAAGACAUUUUGUUUACACUUAUGAGUAAAGUGAUGCCUUACAGAAUCUCUCGACUAGAGAAAUGACUUCUUAGAAACAUAAGGUUAUAUCUUCUAACACUCUUCAGACAAAAUAACUUGUAAGAAUCUUAGUUUGCCUCUGCACAAAAUGUAAUGGCUUAAAACAAGGUAUCAUUUCUCAUGGUUCUUGAGUUGGUGCAAAUCAGCUGCAUGAGUUAAUCUUGGGGUCUCCCACGCAGCUACAGUGAGCUGCAGCUGGAGCUGGAGUUAAAUGAAGCCUCAACUGAGUAGGGGAUCUGAGCUGGCUUCUUCACUCACAUACCUGGUAUCCACCUGGCCUCUUUCUCCAAGUUGCAUCUCAUUCUUCAAGGCUACUCCACCAAACUUGGGCUUCUCUUGAUAGUCAUACUUUCUAACUGGCUUCCAAGUUGGAAAGUAGGAGCCACCAGGUUAGGGAAUGGCUGCUCCCAGAACUGCUUCAGCAUUAAACCACAUAUGCUAUGGGUCCAAGCCAUUAUGGGGUCUGUCCAGGUAUAAGAGGGUGGGAAGAGAGAUUCUACCUCGUGAUGUUGAUGAGAGAGUAUCAAGGACCCAUCACAGAAGAUUGGAUGAGACAGGAAAUAUUACUGUAGACGUCUCCGAAAAAUACAGUCUACCACAACCUACCACUUCUUUUUUUAAACUUACAUCUCUCCUUAGGUUAGAAAAACCUAUAUAAGGCUUAUAAUCACCCACAGGUAUAAUAUGAUUGCAGGAAGACCAGUGAAAUGUGAACUGCCAAAAUAAGAAUCCAAAGCAAGGAAAACCAACAGGUCUUCUUGGUUUCUACACUGAUGAAACCACAUAUAGAAAAGAGAGUUGUCCACAGCUCAGAGCUGAAUUUAUAAAGGGCCGAUGAAAAACUGGGGCAUGUUAUGGGGAGAGUGAGCAGGGUGGUUAAGCCCUGGAAAUCGUAUCACUUUAGGAGCAUAUGCUAUAAAAGCAACACUGCUCGACCUGAAGAUGUGUGGACAAGAUCUUACCUGAGCUUCUCACUUCACUCCCUCUGUGUCCCCUAUGACAUGAACCUCUAGACCUCCACAUACAUGGUUUGAACCACUGGCCUACAUCCCUUUAAAAUACUUACUUCUACGGGGUUCCCGCUAUGGCUCAGCGGGUUAAGAACCCGACUAGUAUCCAUGAGGAUGCGAGUUCGAUCCCUAGCCUCAUUCAGUGGGCUAAGGAUCCGGUGCUGCUGUGAGCUACAAUGUAGGCCACAGAUGGGACCUGGAUCUGGUGUUGCUGUGGCUGUGGUGUAGGCCAGCAGCUGUGGCUCAGAUUGAACCCCUUUGUUCCCAAGCAUAAUCCCUGGGAAUUUCCAUAUGCCGCUGUAGGUGCAGCCCUAAAAAAAUUAAGGAAAAUAAAGUAUUUACAUUUGCAGGGUCCGUGGUUCUCUAGGGAGUCUCAGGGAUGCAUAUGAUGCUCAUUGUAUGAAGUUUUCUGGCAUCUAACAAAGCUGUCCAUAUUUCCCCGUGUCCGGCAGCACUGCGGUAAACACAAGGUUCUAUAUUAUUUCCAACCCUCUUUUCUUUCUGGGAAGACAACCGAUUUACACUGCUCCAGCACGUUAAAAUUAAACACGGUCAUGUGACUUGUUUUGGCCAAUGGAAGUGAUGAAAGCAUUCAAGAGCCAACGCACACAUUCCUUGUUCUCAUCCUCUUCUAAAGAUUCAUGUGGAAAUGGUGGUGACAUAAAAUGAAGGAGCUUCUUUCAGUCUACGAUAAGCAGAGUCUCAUUGUAACCAGUGCUCAACAUGUAAUGUGAGUAAAAAAUAAAUCUAGAUUGUUUUAAGAUGCCAAAAUCUGGGGGUUAAGUUUUAUGCCAGCAUAAUCAAGUCUCUGCUGACUAAUAUAAUUACCAUCUGGGCAAAAGCAUAACUCUCUGCUUUUAGGGACUCAGCUCCAUAUAUUAGGUCCUAAAACCUAAAUGCAACUAUACUUCAGAGUAGUUCAGAAGUGACUGGAUGAGGUUUGCAAGAAUCACUACUUACUCCUUAAAGCCAGAAGUUGUAAGGCGCUUCCUCUGGGAGUUUACCUAGAACUCUCUGUUCCCACCCGCCAAAUUCCAAUAUGAGCUUCUCCACACCUGCCUGCAUUCCAAGAGCUUGUGUAUGAACAGAAAGUCAAGGUGAAGAAGUCAAACACUACACCAGAACCUGGACUUCAGCGGGUGAAUGGUUCAAAAGAAGUGGCCACACUGACCCAGCCUACUCUUAAUAACUCUCACAGCA
rnacentral:lncRNA from 1 species